rnacentral:rRNA from 1 species
CAAUAGCGUAUAUUAAAGUUGUUGCAGUUAAAAAGCUCGUAGUUGGAUUUCUGGUGGGAGCGUUGGGCCGGCCCUAAGGGUCUGAGCUCAAAUGUUUUCCGCCAUCCUUGGAGGGAUGUUGUCUGGCAUUAAGUUGUCGGGCUUCCGAUCUCCAUCGUUUACUGUGAAAAAUUAGAGUGUUCAAAGCAGGCUUAUGCCGUUGAAUACAUUAGCAUGGAAUAAUAAGAUAGGACCUUGGUACUAUUUUGUUGGUUUGCGUACCUAGGUAAUGAUUAAUAGGGACAGUUGGGGAUAUUACUAUUUCGUUGUCAGAGGUGAAAUUCUUGGAUUUACGAAAGAGUAACUACUGCGAAAGCAUUUAUCAAGGAUGUUUUCAUUAAUCAAGAACGAAAGUUAGGGGAUCGAAGACGAUUAGAUACCAU